GAAUGGGAGGAAAUAUUUGCAAAUGAUAUGACUGAUAAGGCUUAAUUUCCAAGAUAUAUAAACAGCUCAUACAACUUAAAAGAAAAAAAAAACCAAACA